ACAUGUGUCAAUGCUGUAUGCCAAAAAUCAGAGGCUGUGAUAAGUAGUUGCUGAGAAAACUGUUACGAAAAUUUCCUACCAUUGACCAUUAAUGUUGAAAAUUUAACUAAUUCUGUAAACAGGAAAUGGAUGAGUGACAGACCUGAAAUCGAAUCCCAAGGUAUGAGACCAUGUGUCAAUGAUGUUAGCCAAUCAUCAAGAGGCUGUGAUAAGUAGUUGCUGAGAAAACUGUUACAAAAAUUUCCUACCAUUGACCGUAAAUGUAAAAAAAAUAACUAAGUUGGUAAAUAGGUAGUGGACAAGUGACAGACCUGAAAUCGAAUCCCACAGUAUGGGACCAUGUGUCAAUGCUGUAUGCCAAAUAACAGAAUCUGUGAUAAGUAGUUGCUGAGAAAACUGUUACGAAAAUUUCCUACCAUUGACUAUUAAUGCCAAAAUUUAACUAAGUCAGUAAACAGGAAGUGGAAGAAAGACAAAUCUGAAAUUGAAUCCCACGGUAUGGGACCAUGAUGCAGCAUUUAAUUUAAUUUACUGUCUCACUGUCAAUGCUGUAAGCCUAUUACCAAGAGGCUGUGAUAAGUAGUUGCUGAGAAAACUGUUACGAAAAUUGACCAUUUAUGUUGAAAAUUUAACUAAGUCUGUAAACAGGAAGUGGAUGAGUGACAGACCUGAAAUCGGAUCCCACAGUAUGGGACUACAUGUCAAUGCUGUAUGCCAAAUAUCAAGAGGCUGUGAUAAGUAGUUGCUGAGAAAACUGUUACAUAAAUUUCCUACCAUUGACCAUUAAUGUUGAAAAUUUAACUAGGUCGGUAAAAGGAAGUUAACGAGUGACAGACCUGAAAUCAAAUCCCACAGUAUGGGACCACAUGUCAAUGCUGUAUGCCAAUUAUCAAGAGGCUGUGAUAAGAAUUUGCUGAGAAAACUGUUACAAAAAUUUCUACCAUUGACCAUUAAUGUGGAAAAUUUAACUAGGUUGGUAAACAGGAAGUGGAUGAGUGACAGAACUGAAAUCUAAUCCCACGGUAUGGGACUAUGUGUCAAUGCUGUAAGCAGGCUGUGAUAAGUAGUUGCUGAGGAAACUGUUACAAAAAUUUCUACCGUCGAAAAUUACGAAAAUUUCCUACCAUUGACCAUUAAUGUUGAAAAUUUAACUAAGUCUGCAAACAGGAAGUGGAUGAGUGACAGAUCUGAAAUCAAAUCCCAAGGUAUGAGACCACGGGUCAGUGCUGUAAGCCAAUCAUCAAGAGGCUGUGAUGAGUAGUUGCUGAGAAAACUGUUACGAAAAUUUCCUACCAUUUUUCAUUAACAUGGUUCAUACAGACUUCUCAAACAUAAAUUUAGGGCUUUUUCAGGGCCUUUUUAACUAAAUUUAGGGCUUAAUUUUCAUGACAUUAACAAGCACCUGAUUUGUAGUUCUUUGUUCAUUUAUUCGGAUGCCUCAGACUUUUUCCUUAAAAAAUCAGAUAAUUCAGAAUAAGUGUUUGUGCCCUAGUCAAUUUGUCCCCGUGUCAAUUCACCCAAAAUACGGAAUUAUAUGUUAUUAAAGGAUAUUUAUUUUGUUUCUCAAUUGCAUUGUAAAUCAUUUAGAUUAUUAACCAACUAAAUAGUUUACAAACUACAUUUAGGGCCUUCAAAAUAGUAAUUUUGGAUCAGAGAGUGGUAAUUUAGGGACUUUUCAGGGCCAGCCAUGCUUUUCAUUUUGGGUCAUUUUUUUACAAUUUGAAUAAUUAUUCUGGAAAAACGAGGAGCUCAAAUGAUCUGAAAUUUUGCACAAAUAUUAGUGGUCAAGACCUACAUCAAUUGGUACAUUUAUCUGGAAAAAAUAUUUUCAGUCCCAUCAUGUCAAUAAACCUCAGUCAAUGUCAAUGACCCUGCAAAUCAAGCGGUCAAAUUAGCAAUGUCAGUAAACUAAUUAUACUUAGAUAUUAACAAACGACCUGAAAAAACUAGAACUGCCACUGUCAUGGCAUGAAUACCCCCUGCAUACCACUUUGUCAGAAUCAAGUGGCCAUUCAGAGCUCAAGGACAACCACCCUGCCAAAUCUGAGUUACUAAGCCAGUGCAUUGCUAAGUUAUGUAUUCUACAUGCUUCAAAUGUGAAAAUGUCAAAAUCAAUACACUGCAGACAGGCAUUCUUAAACAUUUGAGCAGACAAGCUUAUUAUAGUAAAAAUCCCUGUGACUUGACUUUUGACAAUUAAGCAGAAAAGCUGUUUUACUCAAGGCCCCUGUGACCUUGACCUUUGACCCAGUGACCUCAAAAUCAAUAGAGGUCACCUAAUGGUCAGGAUCAACCUACAUGCCAAAAAUGGAGACUGUGGCUCAAAGGAAUCUUAAUUUAUUGGGCGGACUAACUUGUUGAAGUCAAGGCCACUGUGACCUUGACCUUUGACCUCAAAAUCAAUAGGGGUCAUCUACUAAUCAUGACUAACCUCCAUGCCAAAUAUGAAGAUUGUGGGUCAAAGGAAUCUCAAGUUAUUGGGCGGAUAAGCUUAUUUUACUCAAGGCCCCUGUGACCUUGACCUUUGCCCCAGUGACCUCAAAAUCAAUAAGGGUCAUCUACUAAUCAUGACUAACCUCCAUGCCAUAUAUGAAGAUUGUGGGUCAAAGGAAUCUCAAGUUAUUGGGCAGAUAAGCUUAUUUUACUCAAGGUCCCUGUGACCUUGACAUUUGACCCAGUGACCUCAAAAUCAAGAGGGGCCAUCUACUAAUCAUGACUAACUUCCAUGCCAAAUAUGAAGACUGUGGGUCAAAGGAAUCUCAAGUUAUUGGGCGGUCAAGCUUUUUUUAGUCAAGGCCCCUGUGACUGACCUUUGACCCCAAAAUCAAUAGGGUCAUCUACUAAUCGUGACUGACCUCCAUGCCAAAUAUGAAGACUGUCGGUCAAAGGAAUCAUAAGUUAUUGGGCGGAAAACCUUUUUUAAGUCAAGGCCCCUGUGACCUUGACCUUUGACCCAGUAACCACAAAAUCAAUAGGGGUCAUCUACUAAUCAUGACUAAUCUCCAUGUCAAAUAUGAAGACUGUGGGUCAAAGGAAUCUUAAGUUAUUGGGCGGACAAGCUUUUUUUUUCUCAAGGCCCCUGUGACCUUGACCUUUGACCCAGUAACCACAAAAUCAAUAGGGGUCAUCUACUAAUCAUGACUAAUAUCCAUGUCAAAUAUGAAGACUGUGGGUCAAAGGAAUCUUAAGUUAUUGGGCGGACAAGCUUUGUUUUUUUUUCUAAAGGCCCCUGUGACCUUUGACCCAGUGACCUCAAAAUCAAUUAGGGUCAUCUACUAAUCAUGACUAACCUCCAUGCCAAAUAUGAAGACUGUGGGUCAAGGGAAUCCUAAGUUAUUGGGCGGACAAGGACAAACUGACGGACGGUCGGACUUGGUUGUGGGGGGGGGGGUAUAAUUAUGAUUAAUUUUCAUACAACAAGGCGGUAUUUCAAAGACAUUUGUUGCGAUUAUGAUCUUGCAAUACUUGACACCAUGCUGUGUCUGCUAUAUAAACAAUAAUGCACAAGAAAGGAUGUCAACUUACAAAUAUUUAUUUGUCGGUAAAUUUUAUGACAGAAUCCCCGCUGCUACCAGAAAUAUUUUAUUGCAGGGGCUAAGUUAUUAAUCUGUGUCAGCAGUCAUAAAUCAAAACAAACAAACAUGUACCCUAAAGCACAUUAAAUCUAUCACGUGGAAAACAAGUGAACAUACAGUAUUUUUAAUUCAGUUUCCAUGCCUCAAUUUGAUACGUUCUAUAAUAAGUUAAUUGCCGUGCGCAUGCCGUAAAUGCGUGACGUAAGGAAAAACCUUAGCUUGGUUGGUCGCUAUUUAUGUAAAUACUUUAAAUAGUAACACCCUAAUUUUAUGCAUGGAAUGCCCUCAUGAAUGAUUCACCCUAAUAUUAUGCAUGGAAUGCCCUCAUGAAUGAUUAAUCAUUACGAUAACACACUUUACAGACUAAUUUUCGUAUUAAAUUAGCCAUUUUUGGAAAGGUAAAAGUAAAGUUGAUGAUUCUCGCUUCCAUUGAUAUCAUGCAAGUCAAGAUUCUCGCUUACAUGGGGAAAUCGAUAAAGCAAUUUAUAAGUGAAGGUCAUGGUCUGUCUGCUUAUUUUUAAGGGCUAUCUUUGAAGAUUAUUAUGUUCAAGUUUGAAGACAAUCCAUUCAAAAAUAACAGUUACAGCCAAUAAUAGCAAGAACAAGCAGAAUUUGGACAUUUGACCUUGAAGGUUAAGGUCAUUUAUGGAUGAAGGUCAAGGUUAGUGUGGUCUACUGACCAGGUUUUUCUAUUUUUAGCUUUAGCGUCCCCUUAAAGGGGCCAAUCAAAUUAAUGUGAGCAAAGACUACCCAAAAAUGCUACAGACAAAGUUUGGUGAUCAUCCAUUAAUAAGAUCUGUAGGAGAAGAUAUUUAAACAUAUUUCUAUUUUUAAUUUAAGCGGCCCCUAAAAGGGGAUAAUCAAAUUAAUAUGAGCAAACUUGAUAAAAGACUACCUAAGAAUGCUACAGACAAAGUUUAGUGAUCAUCCAUCAAUUAGUUCUGUAGUAGAAGAUAUUUAAAGAUUUUUCUAUUUUUAGCUUAAGUGGCCCCUCAAGGGGGCUAAUCAAAUUAAUGUGAGCAAACUUGAUAAAAGACUACCCAAAAAUGCUACAGACAAAGUUUGGUGAUCAUCCAUCCAUUAGUUCUGUAGCCAUAGACGUUUAAACGUAUAUCUAUUUUUAAUUUUAGCGGCCCCUAAAAAGGGGCCAAUCAAAAUAAUAUGAGCAAACUUGAUAAAAGACUACCCAAGAAUGCUACAGACAAAGUUUGGUGAUCAUCCAUCUAUUAGUUCUGUAGAAGAAGAUAUCUAAAGGUUUUUCUAUUUUUAGAUAUAGAGACCCCUAAAAGGGGCUAAUCAAACUAAUAUUAGCAAACUUGAUAAAAGACUACCCAAGAAUGCUACAGACAAAGUUUGGUGAUCAUCCAUCCAUUAGUUCUGUAGAAAUAGACAAUUUAAGGUUUUUCUAUUUUUAGCUUUAGUGGCCCCUAAAAGGAGCUAAUCAAAUUAAUAUGAGCAAACUUGAUAAAACUCUACCCGAGAAUGCUAAUGACAAAGUUUGGUGAUCAUCCAUCCAUUAGUUCUGUAGGAGAAGAUGUUUAAAGGUUUUUUUAUUUUUAGCCCUAGAGACCCCUAAAAGGGGCCAAUUAAAAUAAUAUUAGCAAACUUGAUAAAAGACUACCCACGAAUGCUACAGACAAAGUUUGGUGAUCAUCCAUCAAUAAGUUCUCUAGAAAUAGACAUUUAACGGUAUUUUUAUUUUUAGCUUUAGCGGCCCCUAAAAGGGGCCAAUCAAAUAAAUAUGAGCAAACUUGAUAAAAGACUACCCAAGAAUGCUACAGACAAAGUUUGGUGAUCAUCCAUCCAUUAGUUCUGUAGAAGAGGAUGUUUAAAGGUUUUUCUAUGUUUAGCCCUAGAGACCCCUAAAAGGGGCCAAUGAAAUUAAUACAUGUAUGAGAAAAUUUGAUAAAAGACUACCCAAGAAUGCUACAGACAAAGUUUGGUGAUUGUCCAUCAAUUAGUUCUGUAGAAGAAGAUGUUUAAAGGUUUUUCUAUUUUUAGCUCUGCUGACCCCUAAAAGGGGCAAAUUGGAAUGACAUGAGCAAAUUCAAGUGUGACUGUCACAAGGAUGCUACAGACCAAAUUUGAAGUAAAUCUGCUUAGUAGUUUCAGAGAAGAAGACGAUUGUUGACGCAUGACGACAGCCGAUGGACGCCGGGGCAUCCCCCUUUGACCCUGAGCUUUCUGCUCUUGUGAGCUAAAAAGUUAUGAUCCAGGUACAAGUUUGCAGACGGCAACGCCGCCAGGACUAUAACAAUACCUCUACUUUUUUAAACAAGAGGGCCAUGAUGGCCCUGGAUCGCUCCCCUGACACAUCAACCUCAUCCAAGCAAUAUGUUAGACAAGCAUCCUGGCCAAGUUUGAUGACAAUCGAGUCAAAAAUGUGACCUCUAGUGUGUUAAAAAGGGUUUCCAUAUUUGGGCAAUGCGACCUAAUUUUUCAAUAGAGACGACCCAUAUUCAAACUUGACCUAGAAAUCAUCAAAACAACCUUUCUGACAAAUUUCCUGAAUAUUUGGUUCAAAACUGGAGCCACUAGAGUGUUAUAAAGAUUUUUCUAUUUUUAGCUUCUGUUACCUAGUAUUUGACCAGAGAUGACCCAUCUUCGAACUUGACCUAGAAAUCAUCAAAACAACCUUCCUGACAAAUUUCCAGAAUAUUUGGAUCAAAACUACAGCCAGUAGUGUUAACAAGCUUUUUCUAUUUUUAGCUUCUGUGACCUAGUUUUUGACCGGAGAUGACCCAUCUUCGAACUUGACCUAGAAAUCAUCAAAACAACCUUCCUGACAAAUUUCCAGAAUAUUUGGAUCAAAACUGCAGCCAGUAGAGUGUUAACAAGCUUUAUUUAUUUUUAGCUCCUGUGACCUAGUUUUUGACCGGAGACAACCCAUCUUGGAACUUGACCUAAAAAUUAUCAAAACAACCUUUCUGACAAAUUUCCAGGAUAUUUGGAUCAAAACUGCAGCCACUAGAGUGUUAACAAACUUUUUCUAUUUUUAGCUCCUGUGACCUAAUUUUUGACUAGAGAUGACCCAUUUUCGAACUUGACCUAGAAAUCAUCAAAACAACCUUCCUGACAAAUUUCCAGAAUAUUUGGAUCAAAACUGCAGCCACUAGAGUGUUAACAAACUUUUUCUAUUUUUAGCUCCUGUGACCUAAUUUUUGACUAGAGAUGACCCAUCUUCGAACUUGACCUAGAAAUCAUCAAAACAACCUUCCUGACAAAUUUCCAGAAUAUUUGGAUCAAAACUGCAGCCAGUAGAGUGUUAACAACCUUUUUCUAUUUUUAGCUCCUGUGACCUAGUUUUUGACCGGUGAUAACCCAUCUUCGAACUUGAUCUAGAAAUUAUCAAAACAACCUUCUUACAAAUUUCCUGAAUAUUUGGAGCAAAACUUGAGCCACUACAGUGUUAUAAAAAAAAUUCUAUUUUUAGCAUCUGUGACCUAGUAUUUGACCAGAGAUGACCCAUCUUGGAACUUGACCUAGAAAUCAUCAAAACAACCUUCCUGACAAAUUUCCAGAAUAUUUGGAUCAAAACUGCAGCCAGUAGUGUAAACAAGCUUUUUCUAUUUUUAGCUCCUGUGACCUAGUUUUUGACCGGAGAUGACCCAUCUUCAUACUUGACCUACAUGUAGAAAUCAUUAAAAUAACCUUCCUGACAAAUUUCUAGAAUGUUUUGAUCAAAACUGCAGCCACUAGAGUGUUAACAAGCUUUUUCUAUUUUUAGCUCCUGUGACCUAGUUUUUGACCAGAGAUGACCCAUCUUCGAACUUGACCUAAUCAUGAAAACAACCUUCCUGACAAAUUUCCAGAAUAUUUGGAUCGAAACUGCAGCCAGUAGAGUGUUAACAAGCUUUUUCUAUUUUUAGCUCCUAUGACCUACUUUUUGACCGGAGAUGACCCAUCUUCGAACUCGAUCUGUAUUUCAUUAAGACAAACAUUCUGACAAAGUUUGACAAUGAUCCAAUCAAAACUGUGACUACUAGACUGUUAACAACAACCCAAUUGUUGACGACGAACAACGCACGACGACGGACGCCGGACAUAGCCCCAUUAUUAUACCUCACCUUGACAACUUUGUGGUCAGGUGAGCUCAAAAAAAAGUCGAGCUAAAAAUGUGACCACUAGUGUUAACAAGGUUUUUUUAUUUUUAGCUCCUGUGACCUAGUUUUUCAUCCGAGAUGACCCAUCUUCGAACUAAUCGAGCUAUUAGCUAGAUAAGCAUCCUGACAAAGUUUGAUGAUGAUUGAGGCAAAAAUGUGACCGCUAGAGUGUUAACGAUCAAGUGUGGACGGAGGACGGACAUUCAACGAUCCUAAAACCCCGAAGAUUAAUUCACAGAUAAGAUAAUUUCAUUCGAAUAUGUUUGCAUUGCAAAAUUCUCCAGUUCGCUUUUCAUUGUACAUAUCGUGACAUUUCAUUUUUCAAACACCCUCGGAAUGAUCGGCUAUUAUGACCGACGAAAAGGCCCAGGAAGUUUCAAUUGCCCUUUCACAAAAUCUGAUUUUAUUCCAUAAAGGGCGUCGCGAUCUGCGCGGACGCCAACAAAACUCACAACUGUCUUGCUAGACUUCAUGACCUGAAUCACUUCAUAAAUCAGGGAUGAAAAUUAGCGGAGGCCCAGUCGCCCACGGCGACUUAAUUUGUAAUUGGACCACCAAAAAUCUGAAAAUAAUCGUCCAGUCGGCGACUAAAAAAAUCGGCCGUAGAUAAAAUUAAUAUCCGCCAUUAAAUCAACUCACGUGAAAAUUCAAAGGUGCAAAUGAGCGAAUUGGCUCCAAAAUUAUUAGAUUGGCUCAAGAAAAUCACGAUUGGCUCAAACUUACAAAAAGUAUGACUUUUGGAAUCUCCGGUCUAAAUUUAGCAUUUGCUAUUUUAAGAAUGGAAAAGUACACAUUUGGUUUUCCAUUUUUAAUUUGCGCUUUACCGCGUCUUAUCUCAAAACACAGCGACACAGUCUACUUCUUGUGGGUCAUUGACUGGUUUAUAUUUUCAACUUCCCUUCUAAACUAAAUAUCGAUAUGAACAGUAACACAGUCUAAUACACUGGCCCUCACCGUUUGUUUACAUCAGCUGAUAAAUAUGACACUAAUUGUCGUGAACAUACCUGGCAGAUUGUUGAAUAUGCAUUGAAAAAUUGGGUCUUAAUAUUUAAUAUGAAACAAUAAGUAGCGGCAUCCCAAGAUUACUCAAGAUUAUCGCUAAUCAAAUCAGAAGUUCGGGUAUGAAAUAGCGACAAAUUAUGUUCUGCAGUUGACAACUUGACCUGUUGACGAUACAGAUAGUCUUCAAGAAAAAUCUUUGUCAUUAACCAAGCAAGCUGAAGCAGCACAUUGGAAUGUGUUUCUGCUGUUACUGUCAUGCCACUGACUUAACCAGGCAAAUGUUAUAGCUACUGAGCUGGAAGCUUUUAUGAUUAUUGACUGUAAAUUAUAUAAGUUUGAUGUGUUAAUGUGAUAAAAAAUGUAGGUACCAAAAUAAAAGUGGACAAUAUA